rnacentral:sRNA from 1 species
AAAGCAUACCAGAUCUCACCAGAGAGGUAAGUGGGAACUGAGAGAAGAUGAGACCUGGGGAGGGGCAACCUCACAUGAUACAGGAGAACGCAUGGCAGGAUCCCUUCCUCAGGGAGCACAGGAGCUCUGAGACUCAGCAAGGCUGUCCUGGAGGGCUCAGGGAUGGGAGAGUACACAGAUUCACAACUCAUUCAGAACUGUAGAAGAUGAUGGAUGUGACCAAGAUCACUUUAGUCCUAGGGGACUACAGAAGGAAAAAGACAAGAGGCAGUAGGGUAUCUGUGUGUCUUCCUGCUGAGCACACUUCCUUUAGUGACCCCUGAUUGCCUCCUCAAGUCGCAGACACUAUGCUGCCUCCCGUGGCCCUGCCCAGUGUGUCCUGGAUGCUGCUCCCCUGCCUCAUGCUCCUAUCUCAGGAGCCUCUAGGUGAAGAACCCCAGAAGGAACUGCCCUCUCCACGGAUCAGCUGUCCCAAAAGCUCCAAGGCCUAUGGCUCCCACUGCUAUGCCUUGUUUUUGUCAGCAAAAUCCUGGAUGGAUGCAGAUGUGAGUGGUUAGAUGUGGGGUUGGAGGUGACAGGGGAAAGUCCAUGCAGGUCUCAGGGGGAGGAGGGUCUCCUUCAGGAGAGUUCCUUGGGAAUGAGGAUGAACAUGCUUAUCUUUCACACAGUCC